rnacentral:rRNA from 1 species
CCUACGGGCGGCAGCAGUGGGGAAUAUUGCACAAUGGGGGAAACCCUGAUGCAGCGACGCCGCGUGAGUGAAGAAGUAUUUCGGUAUGUAAAGCUCUAUCAGCAGGGAAGAAAAUGACGUUACCUGCUUAAGAAGCCCCGGCUAACUACGUGCCAGCAGCCGCGGUAAUACGUAGGGGGCAAGCGUUAUCCGGAUUUACUGGGUGUAAAGGGAGCGUAGACGGCAGCACAAGUCUGGAGUGAAAUGCCGGGGCUUAACCACGGAACUGCUUUGGAAACUGUGCAGCUAGAGUGCAGGCGAGGUAAGUGGAAUUCCGAGUGUAGCGGUGAAAUGCGUAGAUAUUAGGAGGAACACCAGUGGCGAAGGCGGCUUACGGGACUGUAACUGACGUUGAGGCUCGAAAGCGUGGGGAGCAAACAGGAUUAGAUACCCUAGUAGUC